rnacentral:tRNA from 1 species
GCCCCAAUGGCGCAGUUGGUGCAGCGCCUGGUGGCUUUUCCGAGUUUGGCUAACUCGAGAGGUCGUCGGUUCGAAUCCGGCUUGGGUCG